UACGGAGGAUCCAAGCGUUGUCCGGAUUUAUUGGGUUUAAAGGGCGCGUAGGCGGAUCUUUAAGUCAGUGGUGAAAGCCUGCAGCUUAACUGUAGAAUAGCCAUUGAAACUGAAGAUCUUGAAUGUGGCUAAAGUAGACGGAAUGUAUCAUGUAGCGGUGAAAUGCUUAGAUAUGAUACAGAACACCGAUAGCGAAGGCAGUUUGCCGAACCAUUAUUGACGCUGAGGCACGAAAGCGUGGGGAGCGAACAGG
rnacentral:rRNA from 1 species